CCUACGGGGGGCAGCAGUGGGGAAUAUUGCGCAAUGGGCGAAAGCCUGCCGCAGCGACGCCGCGUGAGGGCUGAAGGUCUUCGGAUCGUUAACCUCUGUCAGCAGGGAAGAACGGUCACUGUGCUAAUCAGCAGUGAAUUGCCGGUACCUGCACAGGAAGCACCGGCUAACUCCGUGCCAGCCGCCGCGGUAAUACGGAGGGUGCGAGCGUUCAUCGGAAUUACUGGGCGUAAAGCGCUCGUCGGCGGUAGGGCAAGUCACGGGUGAAAUCCCCGCGCUCAACGGGGGAACGGCCUUUGAAACGGGCAAACUUGAGUGUGUGAGAGGAUAGUGGAAUUCCAGGUGUAGGAGUGAAAGCCGUAGAUAUCUGGAGGAACAUCAGUGGCGAAGGCGACUAUCUGGCACAUAACUGACGCUGAGGAGCGAAAGCGUGGGUAGCAAACAGGAUUAGAUACCCUGGUAGUC
rnacentral:rRNA from 1 species